AGGCGGCGCCGCCGGGGCGGGCGGUACAUGUCGUCAGCCUGUUGUUCUCCGCGUGUUGGCCCCGCGGCCGCUGUCGUUCGGUGUUUUCUCCCAUUUCUGGUGCCAAAACCCGGUUUUAAGAGCUGCCUGAGGACACGGGCUGUGUCCCCUCGGUGGGAGUGGGGAAACGGCGGUGGGAGCGCGGCUGUGGGAGUGCGGCGGCUGAGGAGGCGGGCCCGGCAGCGCUUCUUGAGCCGUCCGGAGGCGGGCAGCGAGGCUGAUGAGGAGCGGCUGAGGGAGCUGGGGGUCUUUAGCCUGAAGAAAAGGAGGUUGAGGGGAGACCGUAGCGCUCUCUAUAACUACCUGAAAGGAGGCUGUAGCGAGUAUCACAUGUGGUGCAAUAACCGCAGCAGCUGCACAUCCAAAUAAAAGGAGAACUUCUCCAGUUCUUCAAAUCCUGUAGCGUUGUUUUUUGUCACCUCAGUGAAUCGAACCAGAUGUCGCACAUCUCCACGUGCGUUUGCUCCCGUUUUCAUCUGGUCGCGGUGAGACGCUGUGCCUGAGAUCUGCCGUACCUCCUGGAGAUGAAGCGCUGGACAGGACCUCCUGUGCUGUGUCCGAGCCUCCCAGGUUCCAGCAGUCGUGUGGAACAGAGUCCAGAAGCAUCUACAGAACUUCUGCUCUAGGUGACACCACAACCAAAGCUGUGGGAUGUUUCCCAAGGGAAAAACCUAAAUCCCAUAGUAAAUUAAAAAAGCCACGGUAAUAACAAGACCCAGGAAGUGAAAAGGAAAUAUUUGGGCACUGCCAGUUAUCCCGCGUCCUGCAGGAACAAAUGGCUCAUUGAGGAGCGCUCCUAGGAAGCACUGAGAGGACAGAAAAACAGCUAUUAAAAAAAAAAGUUAUUUCUAAAUCUUUUUUCCAGACUGAUGGAUCCGCUGGGCUUUGGAGGCAGUUGAUGCUUCCCCCUCCUCACCACUCCGUUGCACUUCAGAGGGGCCAGUUCCCGGCUUUCCCUGAUACUUUUGUGUUGUCAUAAUAUUUAAUCUCAAGCCUUAACUUUUGUAACAGGUGUUUUAAAUGACAAUUUAUAUUGUCCAAAGUGUUUGCUUUUAGAAAACUCAGGUAACUCUCAGGAAGCUUCUUCCUAGCGCACAGAAGCAGCUUGCUAAAGCUUCUCGCUUUGUCUUCUGUCUGACUGCAUUCUCUGUAUUUCUCCAGCUGCCCUCUAGUUUACUUUGUGGUUUACUGGAAUUUUUUUUCCUCUUCUUAUAGUGGACUCUCUCCUCUGGUGCUCUAUGUAGGAGCCAUGCAGACAGAGAAACUGAUUAAACAGAGAAACGCUGAAAAUAA